GUUCGAGCCGACCUCGCCUCGCCAAGUGCAGGAAAUCCUGAAGGGGCAGCACAGCCUGCUCGGCCCUGUCCAGGACUGGAGCUCGCUAGCCCCCCUAAAACUCCACAGGGAGCAGUUUAGGGCCAGUAAAAGGAACUCUCUCCUUGCUCAGCGAAGACAAACCGGAAUGCAGCUGGCAAUCUUCUCCCCCUAAGUAGGAUCGGAAUUUUAACAACAGAAAACGUGCGGCUCGACUCCUUAGAGAAAUGAAGGCGGAGUCUUGCUAGGUUCCUCGGACGGGUCUGGAAUUCACCACGGAGCCCACGCUGCCUUUGAACUUGAUUGAGCUCCUUCGGCUUUUCAAAACACAAGCAGCUUCGCUCAGUUUAUGGCUCCCAUUUUAAAGAGUCUUAGUCUGGAACUCUCUAUUUGCCUGCCUCAACUUCCUCCUGAGAACUCACUUCUGAAUCCAUCCUUACUCGGUUUGGACUGCAAAGUGGAGAAGACCCUACUGCCGGCCCCUUGUUACCGCUGAUUACUGGGAAUUGGCUAUAAUUUUCCAAAGUGCUACCAAUUCAAUGAAAACCGUUGCUCAGCCUGCUUUUUCCAUUGAGGAAGUUCAGGCCAGGAGGAAAUGAAGUCAAUAUCCUGUCGUUCCCCAGUCCCCCUGCCCCACAACGAUAAGAGGUGACCACCCACUCAGCAACUAAACAACAAUAGAGUUGUACCAUGUCACACAUGUGGAGACCAAACGACAACUUUUACCUUCAGAGCCAUCUCACAGGCCUUUAGGAUCACCAUUUUACAGACAAAGUUGAAGAUUCCCUUGAUCACACAGCUAGUAAGGAAGUAAAGGGUGAAGCUGAGACUUGGUACCAGCUUCCUUUGACUUUAAAGACCAUUCUUAGGCUGGAGACGUAAUUCAGUUUGCAGAGUAUUUGCUUAUCAUCGCCAAGUCUUAAGCUUGAUCCCUAACACCCCAUAAACCAGAUAUGCUGGGGAAUGCCUGCAAUCCCAGUACUUAGGAGGUGGAGACAGGAAGAUCAGAUGUUCAAGUUCAUCCUUAUCUGCCUGGUGCAUUCAAAUCCUGUCUGAGCUACUUGAGACCCUGUCUCAAAGAAAAGCUUCUGCUUCUUGUUUACUGUGUCUUAAAGUGACCAGGAAUGGCCUCAACAGGCGCAUCUCCGUGAAUCCAAGGUUCAUCUCUGUGAAUCCAAGGUUCAUCUCUGUGAAUCCAAGGUUCAUCUCCGUGAAUCCAAGGCGCAUCUCCGUGAAUCCAAGGCGCAUCUCCGUGAAUCCAAGGCGCAUCUCCGUGAAUCCAAGGUGCAUCUCCGUGAAUCCAAGGCGCAUCUCUAUGAAUCCAAAGCCCAUCUCUGUGAAUCCAAGGCCAGUCUACUUUACAGAGUGAGUUCCAGAACAGCAGAAGCUACACAGAGAAACUCCAUCUCAAAAACAAAAUAAAACAAAAUAAAAAACAAAGAAAAGAAAAGAAAAAAGAAAAGAAUGAUCUCAGAUAAGGCCCCAAACAAUCCAGAAGAAAAUAGGUGACCAUGCUCUUGGAAGUAGGGACAGUUGUUUUAGGCAUACAGGUCACCACUUCAUCUACCUGUUUCCAGAAGUCCAUUGAUCUACCUGUUACCAGAAGUCCUGUCACUACACCAAAUUCAAAGGGGUCACGGUAUAUAUUCUAAGCUGGCCUUCCUGCUUCUGCCUCCAGGGUGCUUGGAUCCACUUGGUUUGUUUGUUUGAAGUUUGUGGAAUUAAUUUUUUAUUUAUUUUUAUGUGUAUUGGUGUUUUGUCUGCAUGUAUGUUUGUGUACCACGUUAGUACCUGAUAUCCAUAGAUGCCAGAAGAAGGCAUUGAAUCCCCCUGGGACUGGAGUUUGACAGCUGUAAGUUGCUGUGAGAGUUCUGAGAAUCAAAGUCAGGACUUCUGGAAGCUAGUGCUCUUAGCUGCUGAGCCAUAGCAAUUUUAUAUGAUGAAAUUAUACAUAUUAAAAUAUGCAUGUCCAGAGUAUAUGCUUUCCAGGAUUUACUUUAAAAAUUACCUAUUAGGAGGCCUGGAAAAGUGUCGCAGUGUUUAAAGGGUUUGUCAUUCUUACAGAGGACCUAGAUUCAGUUUCCAGCAUCUACAAGGCGGUUCAUAACUAUAACUCCCAUGAACUCAAGGCUCUCUUCCAGCCUUUGCAGACACCAAGUGUGUAUAAUUGUAUAAUGGUGAAACACACACACACACACACCACACCACACAAUACAUAUACAUAUACACAUACACAUACACAUACACAUAUACAUAUUCUCAUGCACAAUAAAAGGAUCCAUUAUGGUCAUGGUAUCAAACUGCCUUCUAAAUAUUUAUAUUACUACUCAUAGAUUAGUGCUGUUCUCAGCUUUGGUCAGGGAAGAUUCUAUUUUCAGCAGGUGACAGUUAAUGCAGAGACUCAUAACUAGCCAAAGGGUCAAGAGUGACUGUGAGUGCUCAGCCCUAAAUGGGACAUCUAUAUAUACUCCCCGAAGGCACAGGGACUACUGUGAAGAAGGAACUGAAAGAAUGUCAGAGUAACCAGGAAGUGGGGGCACACAUCUUUAGUCCCAGCACUCAGGAGGCAGAGGCAGGAGGAUCUGAGUUCCAGCCUGGUCUAUAGCGUGAGUUCCAGGACAGCCAGGGUUACACAGAGUAACCCUGUCUUGCUAAAACAGAUAAACAAAAAGAAUGUAGGCCCAGACGAUAGGGAGAAGUACUGUGACAUGCUGUUCUCUGGAGAUGACAGAGAACAGGACAGGGCUGUUGCAGCCAUCAACCCAUAGCAGCAGCAAUGACCAGCAUGAAAAUACCCGCACAAAACCAAGCCUACCGACAUUGCAUCACUGACUGAAUAGGGCCUUGUAAAACUCCACCCUCCCUGGAGGAGGUAUAGACAGGGAACACUUGUUAGGGGGAGAAGAGUCUUAUUCCUCAGAUAUGUUGACACUGGUCAUUCUCUUUGCUGAAGAAAAUAGCUCCUAACCCAUGUUCAUAUAAGCAAUGCUAAUGAAUGAAAUGAAGCCCACAAAGGAAGGCUUGAAAGUAAGAGGGGACUUGUAGGGAACAGGAAGAGUUUAAUGGGAGAGGGAAGGGAAUAAGACAUAGUAAUGGGGAGAAUAUGAUCAAAGUACAUUAUACUUUGAAAUUAUGAAAAAGUAUCUAAAUAUCUAUUCUUGGACAGAAAAAAAGAAAAGAAUGAUAGUUGUGUUAGAUACUUAGAUAAAGAGCAUUACAUGAUGGGAUGAAGAUGGCCUUGCACCGCUCAGUAAGAUAAAAUAAAAUAUUCUGGGACUGUGGGUAUAGUUUAAUGGUAGAGUAUAUGCUGAGCAUACAAGCGGCCCUGGGUUUAGUCCUCAGCACACAAAUCUAUUGGUAAAGAGAAAAUGGUUUAGGAAAGACGCUUGCUUGGGGCUUAAAUAGGGUGUGUGAUGGCACACACUUGUAAUCCCUAGCACUUGGGAGGAAGAUAGAGACAAGAGAAACAGGAAUUCAAGGUCAUCCUCAGCUACUAAGUGAGUUUGAGGUCAUCCUGGGCUAUACAAGACUCACUUCAAACAAAGCCAACACAAAGAUUGGGGUUUGUUUAAUUGUUUACCUUUGUAUGUGUUUGAAAUUUUCUAUCAUAAAAUUUGAUUUGUGUACUUCUUGAUCUAGGGGUUUCUAAAAUUAGAUCUGGGGAGGCAGAGGCAGGCAGAUUUCUGAGUUCGAGGCCAGCCUGAUCUACAAAGUGAGUUUCAGGAACAAAACAGCCAGGGCUACACAGAGAAACCCUGUCUCAAAAGAACAAAAAACAAAACAAAAGAAAACAAAACAAACUAAAAUUAGAUCUAUAUAAAGGAUGUUGUUAAUAAGAACUUAUAUUGCCGAUAGAGAGAUGGCUCAGUGAUUAAGAACACUGGCUGUAGCCAAGUGGUGGUUUCAACAACAAACAAAGACAAACAAAAACAAACAAGAAGAUGCCUUCUUCUGGCCUCCAAGGACCAAAUGUAGGCACCCAUUUGGUGUGCAUUCAUACAUGAAGGCAAAACACCCAUACACAUAAAAUAAAAUGAAAAAAGUUAAAAAUAUUUUAAAGGAAAUUAUGUUGAUAAUAAUAAAAUGACAAGCUGGGCGGUGGUGAUGCACACUUGUAAUCCCAGCACUUGGGAGGCAGAGGCAGAGGCAGAGGCAGAGGCAGAGGCAGAGGCAGAGGCAGAGGCAGAGGCAGAGGCAGAGGCAGAGGCAGAGGCAGAGGCAGAGGCAGAGGCAGAGGCAGAGGCAGGCAGAUUUGAAUUCGAGGCCAGUCUGGUCUACAAAGUGAGUUCCAGGACAGCCAGGGCUACACAGAGAAACCCUGUCUCAAAACAAAACAAAACAAAACAAAAAAAAAUAAAAACGACAAGAUUAACAAUUAUAAAUUUAAUAAAAAAUAAUAUUGGAUAAAUUAUUGUACAGUCACUGAAUAGAACACACUUUUCUUUUUCUCCCAAGAACACUGAACCUUUCAAAAAAUAAUGUUUUCAAAGGAUGCUCAUUAUCAUUGAAAAGGAAACAGACAUUUUAUAUGAAGAAUGCAAAUUAUAAAGGCGUUAUGUAUAGCACGAUUCCAUUUUCAUUUAAAAUAUAUAAUAAUGGGUGUGAUGGUACACACCUGUAAGCUUGGGCGAGAGAGAUAGGAAGAUUGUCAGGUUGAGGCCCGCUUGGGAUACAUGGCAAGACUCUGAGUCAAAGAACCAAAUCAUAAAGCCAGCAAGAUGCCUGUGGGUAAAGGAAUUUGCUACCAAACCUGAGAAUCCGAGUUCCAUUGUGAUCCCUGGCACCCACAUGGUAGGAGGAAUGAAUCAAUCCCAGUAAGUUUUACCUCUGCAAGCAUGCCAUGGUGCACAUACUGAAACAUGCAUUAUCAAUUAACCAACCAGCCAAUCAAUCAAUUAAUCCAUCAAUCCAUUAAUCAAAUAAGAGCUGUCAAGAUGGCUCAGUGAAUAAAGUCAGUUCAAGGCUGUUGACCUGAGUUCAAUACCCACAGUAAAAUGAGGAAACCAGUUCCCACAAAUUGUUCUUUGAUUUAUACAUAUGGAUGCAUGCAUGCAUGUGCGCGGCAUACACAGUCACAUACAUACAACAUGUCUACAUGCAUACAGAUGUGUUCAAA